rnacentral:lncRNA from 1 species
GAACAAUGGGUAACCAAAUGAGUGUUCCCCGAAGAGCUGAAGCCCAAGAGAAUGACCCGGAAGCAGACACGCACAAGGUCACAUCUGGGGAUGCGUGUGGUCAAAACGGCCUGCCGGCCAUCAUAUCUGGCAGCACCGUUCAACUCUACGAUGAAGUCGAUCUGGGAGUCAGCAUCCAGGAGGAUAAUGUGGCCGCUUCUUCCCCCGAGACAAUGGAGACCGGCGCGGCUGCAGAGGCCAACGGCGAGAGUCUUGGGAAGGAGGCCAAACCCCAGGCACCAGCUGCUAAAUCUCGCUUUUUCUUGACGCUCUCUCGGCCUGUACCAGGGCGUACCGGAGACCAAGCCACGGAUUCAUCCAGUAGGUCCGUGAGGCUUGAUGUCAGCUCCGAUAAAGCUCCAGGAAACAAAGACCCGAGUGAGCCCAUGGCCCUUCCGGUGGCAGCUGCACCCGGGCAUGGCCCGGAUAAAACCCCCGGGCAGACCCCGGCCCAGGCGGAGGGCCUCCCUGCCACCCCUGGGCCGGAGCACCCUCCGUCUGAGUCUGGGGCAGCAGCCCCCGCCAAGCCCAAGGACUCCAGCUUCUUUGACAAACUCUUCAAGCUGGACAAGGGACGGGACAGAGCCCCCGUGGACCUCCCACAGGAGGCUGAGAGCACAGAGCACCCUCACUCGGCCGCCGAAACUCCUGGGUUACCCACGCAGUCCGAGGAUGGCCCUGCAGAGAGGGACUUAGUUGACGGCAAGGGAAAGGGAGGACAGGAAGUCCCAGCUGUGAGCCGCUCCGUCCCCGGGGACCCUGAGCAACUGGAGAUUGCAAAGGAGGACGCCCAGGCAGAGAACAGUUCCAUCAUGAGCUUCUUUAAAACCCUGGUUUCGCCUAACAAAGCUGAAACAAAAAAAGAUACGGAAGACACGGGAGAGGAAAAGUCAGCCGCCUCUUCAGCCAACCUCAAGUUAGACAAAGCCAACAUUACGCUCCAGGAGCCCCAGGGGGCCGCCAAGAAUUCGACAGCCACUGAAACAGCAAAGGAUGGUGCCAAGGAAAAAGGGGGCCCCAGCUCUCUGCCUCUGGGCAAACUGUUCUGGAAAAAGUCAGUUAAAGAGGAUUCAGUCCCCACAGGUGCAGAGGAGAAUACCUCGGACCCCACGGAGAAGGUGGUCUCUCCGCCACAGCCGGAAGCGGCAGCUGCGGGCCAGAAGGGCAAAGAAGGCCCGUCCAAGGGCAAGAAGGCCGCCGCGGAGCCCAACAAGCAGAAGGGCGACAAGCAGGAAGCCAAAGAGCCGGCCCCGGGCGUGGAGCCGGCCGCCGCGGAGGCGAACUCGCUGCCGAACGGGGACAAGCCCCAGAAGAGACCCGAGAAGCGGCGGCAGUCCCUCGGGGGCUUCUUCAAGGGCCUGGGACCGAAGCGGAUGCUGGAUGCUCAAGUGCAAACAGACCCCGUGUGCAUCGGGCCAGCGGGCAAAUCCAAGUGCACAUGGAAGUGUCUCCGUGGCCUUUGCAGGACCUGGGCUGUCGAGCUGAACUGGCCACCGUCAGGGAAAACCAACAACAACAACAGGGAAACGCUGCUUGCCAGAUCCAGCCAACGGCGACGUCUGGACUGA